GAAACAUCUAAGUAGCUGACAGGAAAAGAAUCAACGAGAUUCCCAAAGGUAGUGGCGAGCGAAAUGGGAAGAGCCUGUAUGUGAUAGUCAACUGGUUAGUGGAACGGAAUGGAAAGUCCGGCGAUAGAGGGUGAUAGCCCCGUACACGAAAACUGGUUGGUGGUACUGAGCAUACGACAAGUAGGGCGGGGCACGAGAAAACCCCUGUCUGAACAUGGGGGGACCAUCCUCCAAGGCUAAAUACUCGUAAUCGACCGAUAGUGAACCAGUACCGUGAGGGAAAGGCGAAAAGAACCCCGGGAGGGGAGUGAAAUAGAACCUGAAACCGUGUGCAUACAAACAGUGGGAGCCCCUUCGUGGGGUGACUGCGUACCUUUUGUAUAAUGGGUCAGCGACUUACGUUCAGUAGCGAGCUUAACCGAGUAGGGGAGGCGUAGGGAAACCGAGUCCGAAUAGGGCGCAUAGUU
rnacentral:rRNA from 1 species